rnacentral:rRNA from 1 species
GAGGUUCCGAGCGUUAUCCGGAUUUAUUGGGUUUAAAGGGUGCGUAGGCGGCCUUGUAAGUCAGGGGUGAAAGACGGUAGCUCAACUAUCGCAGUGCCUUUGAUACUGCAGGGCUUGAAUGUACUUGAGGUAGGCGGAAUGUGACAAGUAGCGGUGAAAUGCAUAGAUAUGUCACAGAACACCAAUUGCGAAGGCAGCUUACUAAAGUAUGAUUGACGCUGAGGCACGAAAGCGUGGGGAUCAAACAGG